AGAGAGCAAGGCUUUUCUGAGAAUUUCAGUUAUAGAUAGAGUCUGGGAAAGUCCCUAAGCAUAGCCAUUUUUUUAAAGUCAGUGUAUUGUAUGGGUUUAAAGUAGCUUAAAGCACUGUAAUUUGAAUAAUGAAAGAAUAUAGUACAAAGACAGAUGUCACCAGGUAAGGAAUGGAACCUUGAAGCAGAUGGGCUACAGCAGCAGAAGAUCAUACCGGAUGCCGCUCCUGUCAUCUGAGAACAGAAAACUGAGGCUACAGUUUGCAUGGGCUUACCAAAAUUGGACAAAAUUGGGAAAACAUAUCCAGUUCAGGUUGCUGGUGGUGUAAUGAAUGGUGUGGGGGAUAUUUCCUUGGUAAACUGUGGGCCCCUUAGUGCCAACUGAGCAUUGCCACAACCUACCUGAGUACUGCUGCUGACCAUGUCCAUCCCUUUAUGACCACACUGUACCCAUCAUCUGAUAGCUGCUUCCAGCCUCCACAGUCACCAGGUCUCAGUACAAUAGAGCACCUUUGGGAUGUGGUGGAAUGGGAGAUUUGUGUCAUGGAUGUGAGCUUGCUGAAUCUAUGCCAUGAAGAAUUA